UAAACGGGAGUACACUGCCGUUGUCACGACGAAAUGUGAACGGCUCGAGAUUGGGCAAAUAUAUACGUCAGCGGGCGUCCUCGCAGAAGACGAUGUGCGUGCGCGCCGUCGCUGUCGUGUGAGCUCAGUGCGUCGAUAACUUGAGCACGUCCAGGCGGUACAACUAGUCCCGUUCGGAUCGAUCUUGCGAUGCGAAAAGCGAGACGGAGGUUUUGGCAAUACGCGCGGUGUUCUUCCCCGUUCCGGCUUCUUCAUCGUAAGUCUGUCCACGGAGCAUUUCGUGGAGAAGGGAACCAUAGGAGCCAUACACGGUCCCAGAGACAAGGGGAAAACUACAAGGAUGUUUGAAGCACGAAACCCGGGAAUAACUUAUGUGGAUACUACGUCUGCGAGUUCAUUCGUCAGAUGGCCUGUCACAGGGAUGCAGAGGAGGCUAUACACGCCACUUGUAUGAGACGCCUGCGGGACACUCUCAUAACGGAAGAUCGCAUACGAACAAUUCAAGAGGAACUCGCGGGAUUCUUUCUUAACGAGACCCUUGCCCCAACUGGAGAACACUAUCGGAAGUUCAUAGAUCUUGAUCGACAUCGUCGUUAGGCAUAUAUGAGACGGAUAUAGUAAAGCGGUCCGACUUUAUAUUGUAAACAUGCAUUACGUGUACUAUAUUUCAUGAUGAUGUCCAUAUAUUCAUGACGAUGUUUGUGGUUUCUUGA